rnacentral:rRNA from 1 species
GAUGAACGCUGGCGGCGUGCCUAACACAUGCAAGUCGAGCGAUUCUCUUCGGAGAAGAGCGGCGGACGGGUGAGUAACGCGUGGGUAACCUGCCCUGUACACACGGAUAACAUACCGAAAGGUAUGCUAAUACGGGAUAACAUAAGAAAUUCGCAUGUUUUUCUUAUCAAAGCUCCGGCGGUACAGGAUGGACCCGCGUCUGAUUAGCUAGUUGGUGAGGUAACGGCUCACCAAGGCGACGAUCAGUAGCCGACCUGAGAGGGUGAUCGGCCACAUUGGAACUGAGACACGGUCCAAACUCCUACGGGAGGCAGCAGCGGGGAAUAUUGCACAAUGGGCGAAAGCUUGAUGCAGCAACGCCGCGUGAGCGAUGAAGGCCUUCGGGUCGUAAAGCUCUGUCCUCAAGGAAGAUAAUGACGGUACUUGAGGAGGAAGCCCCGGCUAACUACGUGCCAGCCGCCGCCGUAA